CAUGGCUCUAGUGAAGAACAUGCCGCCCUGUUUGUUGAGCAGGGACACAUCAAGGGUUCCCCCGCCGAGGUCCACCACCAGCACGUUGAAGACGUCCACCUUGUGAAGCCCGUACGCCAUGGCCGCAGCCGUGGGCUCGUUGAUCACGCCUAGCUUAGCGGCUAGGACGGUGUCGUUCCUCUGCUUCUCGUCGAACUCUGCAGGCACGGAGAUGACGGCUUUGUGGACGGGAGCAUUCAGCUGUCGCUCGGCCAUCUUCCUCAUCUUCAGCAGCAGCCUGGAGCCGAUAAACUCCGGAGUCACCGUGAACGUACCAUUGGUGGUAAUGACAAACUCUGCUCUCCCGUUGUUGUUCAUCACCUAGGCGGGGUAGCGGCUGCUCUCCAGGACCAGCACAUCCGGAGAAAAGAUCUUCCCAAUGAACCUCUUAGCAUCAUAAAUAGUAUUCUGUGGGUUCUUGUCGGCCACAUCCACGGCUUCGUAUCCGACUAACACUGUCGUAUUGGUGAAGGAGACGGCGCUGGGGAGGCUCUUCCUGCCCUCCUCAUCGGCUAUCACCUCCACUUCUCCGCUGCCAGGGUGAAACACACCCACGGAGCAAAAAGUGGUGCCCAGGUCCAGGCCGAUCACUCUGGGCUUAGGUGGAGGCAAGUACUGCUGGCCCAAAUAGCCAGCCAACAACAGAGCCAGGAUAACAGCACCUGUGGCCAUGAGCAUGUAUUUAUCAUGUGUUGGCUAAUAUUUCACAUAAUAUUUGGCUAAUAUUGUUUUUUCAAGUAUCAUUCCACUUACCUAUCGCUGAUAUCGCCCCCGACAUCGUUACGUAUUUUCAGGAACUAAAACAUCCACUAUAUGUUGCUAAAAACACAAAAUGCCGGUUACUUGCAGUUUUGACAGCCGAUGAUGCGACGUUCACACUUCCUGCUAGGUACACGUCAGCGUAGAUCUUCGUGAGGGGGAUCCUGGUUAAUGUAGUUUAAGGCACCAAUAUCAAUGGAACAGUGAUCGUAGUUGAAAACAACAAUUCCCAGAAGGCCUUGCAAGACAACCUACUGUAACACUCCGCGCUCAGUCAAACACUAGACCAGAUAGGCGAAACAACAGCCUAACUCCGACAUGGGGUUUGUGUCCGUCACUUCCUGUCCCUUACCCUUUUUCUUCCCCAACCCCGGAACAUAUCUCUCUCGUCACGAGGUUAGCGCGUUCAAAGCACAAUAACAGUUUUGUGCGUAGUAAUAUUUGUAGUUGUCUUCUUUUGUGAUUAAAGUAAUCCUUUCAUAGUAGUAUAAUCAGUAAAUAACUUGUAAAUAAGCUGUGUAGACGAACACGGGAGACAUCUAGUGUCAAAACACAGAACUACAGCACACUAACUUCCCACAAUGCCAUUCUUCUAAAAGAGCCUGGAUCGGCCUGGAACAAAAAAAGUGGAGGAAAGGCGAUUUUAUACAUUCAUUAAAUCAUUAUUAAUCAAUAUAUCUAAUGAUAGUAAUUAAUUUAAUAACUCAUUUGCUUUAUUUACUGAAAAUAUCUUAUACAUCUAUGUAAAGUAUAUAAUACUGUAAUGUAUUACGAUUAUCAGUAAAUCAGCUGCUCUCAUAUUCAUUAUAAAUGUAAACUAUAAACCUUGUACAUUUUCCAAUAUAUUCAAAUUUUCUUUAAAAAUAAUUUAAAAUACAAAUUACAUACAACACAUCCAAUAUUACAGUCACUAUAUUAAAAAUGUUUUAUGAAUUUAAUUUGCAAUUGAAGUUGAGUAAUUAAUCAUGCAUGAAAUAUAAUUUACCCACUGUAUAUUACGUUAUACACUACAGAUAUUACUUAAUCAAAUAAUGACUCAAUAUGACUCAAUAACAUAUUUGGCAGUGUUUAUUUCAUGGUAUUUACAGAAGAGUUCCCAUGAACACCAUUUCUGCUUUUUUUCCCAAUAGAACAGUAUACAAUAUGUACAAUAAAAGGCAAGUUUAGUUAUUGUCUACAUUUUCCAAUUCAAAAUACGUGUUUAUUAAUAGGAAAUAAAACAUCACAACAGAAAGAAGAUAUGAUAAAUAAAGGCUUUAUAAGAAAAAAUGAUGCAUGAGUUAGAAUGAAAUAAAUACAACGUAUAUUUUGUAUGCAAUAAAUCCAUGUGGCUUAUUGUCUUUAAUGUUAUGAUUUAUAAUGAUAUAUACAUGUAUAUCAACAGUGACAAAGUCCAUAUGUUAUCUUGAAUCGGGCAAAUAAGGAUCACGUUAGGAAGCCGCGUCAUCUGCCAGCUGCUCCGCGUCUUCCUUGCUGUCCGAGCACUCGGACGGGAUGAA